CUGAAUUGGAUAAUUUGGCUCUAGUAAAAUUGGAACGGUACAGAUAUUAGCGUGGCCCCUGUGCAAGGAUGACACCCAAAUCCAUGAAGCGUUCCAUAUUUUU
ensembl:snRNA U6 U6 spliceosomal RNA